GACGGGGGAGGCAAGCGUUAUCCGGAAUUAUUGGGCGUAAAGCGUCCGUAGGUGGUUAGCCAAGUCUGCUGUCAAAGGGUGGGGCUUAACCUCAUGAAGGCAGUGGAAACUGGAGAGCUAGAGUGUGGUAGGGGUAGGGGGAAUUCCCAGUGUAGCGGUGAAAUGCGUAGAGAUUGGGAAGAACAUCGGUGGCGAAAGCGCCCUGCUGGGCCUGCACUGACACUGAGGGACGAAAGCUAGGGGAGCGAAAGGG
rnacentral:rRNA from 1 species